GAAGUUCAGGUAACACUGAAUGGAGGCCCGAACCCACGCACGUUGAAAAGUGCGGGGAUGAGGUGUGGGUAGCGGAGAAAUUCCAAUCGAACCUGGAGAUAGCUGGUUCUCCCCGAAAUAGCUUUAGGGCUAGCCUUAAGUGUAAGAGUCUUGGAGGUAGAGCACUGAUUGAACUAGGGGUCCUCAUCGGAUUACCGAAUUCAGUCAAACUCCGAAUGCCAAUGACUUAUCCUUAGGAGUCAGACUGCGAGUGAUAAGAUCCGUAGUCAAGAGGGAAACAGCCCAGAUCGCCAGCUAAGGUCCCAAAGUGUGUAUUAAGUGGAAAAGGAUGUGGAGUUGCUUAGACAACUAGGAUGUUGGCUCAGAAGCAGCCACCAUUUAAAGAGUGCGUAAUAGCUCACUAGUCGAGUGACUCUGCGCCGAAAAUGUACCGGGGCUAAAUACACCACCGAAGCUGCGAAUUGAUACCAAUGGUAUCAGUGGUAGGGGAGCGUUCUAAGUGCAGUGAAGUCAGACCGGAAGGACUGGUGGAGCGCUUAGAAGUGAGAAUGCCGGUAUGAGUAGCGAAAGACGGGUGAGAAUCCCGUCCACCGAAUGCCUAAGGUUUCCUGAGGAAGGCUCGUCCGCUCAGGGUUAGUCAGGACCUAAGCCGAGGCCGACAGGCGUAGGCGAUGGACAACAGGUUGAUAUUCCUGUACCACCUCUUUAUCGUUUGAGCAAUGGAGGGACGCAGAAGGAUAGAAGAAGCGUGCGAUUGGUUGUGCACGUCCAAGCAGUUAGGCUGAUAAGUAGGCAAAUCCGCUUAUCGUGAAGGCUGAGCUGUGAUGGGGAAGCUCCUUAUGGAGCGAAGUCUUUGAUUCCCCGCUGCCAAGAAAAGCUUCUAGCGAGAUAAAAGGUGCCUGUACCGCAAACCGACACAGGUAGGCGAGGAGAGAAUCCUAAGGUGUGCGAGAGAACUCUGGUUAAGGAACUCGGCAAAAUGACCCCGUAACUUCGGGAGAAGGGGUGCUUUCUUAACGGAAAGCCGCAGUGAAUAGGCCCAAGCGACUGUUUAGCAAAAACACAGGUCUCUGCGAAGCCGUAAGGCGAAGUAUAGGGGCUGACACCUGCCCGGUGCUGGAAGGUUAAGGAGAGGGGUUAGCGUAAGCGAAGCUCUGAACUGAAGCCCCAGUAAACGGCGGCCGUAACUAUAACGGUCCUAAGGUAGCGAAAUUCCUUGUCGGGUAAGUUCCGACCCGCACGAAAGGUGUAACGAUUUGGGCACUGUCUCAACCAGAGACUCGGUGAAAUUAUAGUACCUGUGAAGAUGCAGGUUACCCGCGACAGGACGGAAAGACCCCGUGGAGCUUUACUGUAGCCUGAUAUUGAAUUUUGGUACAGUUUGUACAGGAUAGGCGGGAGCCAUUGAAACCGGAGCGCUAGCUUCGGUGGAGGCGCUGGUGGGAUACCGCCCUGACUGUAUUGAAAUUCUAACCUACGGGUCUUAUCGACCCGGGAGACAGUGUCAGGUGGGCAGUUUGACUGGGGCGGUCGCCUCCUAAAGUGUAACGGAGGCGCCCAAAGGUUCCCUCAGAAUGGUUGGAAAUCAUUCGUAGAGUGCAAAGGCAUAAGGGAGCUUGACUGCGAGACCUACAAGUCGAGCAGGGACGAAAGUCGGGCUUAGUGAUCCGGUGGUUCCGCAUGGAAGGGCCAUCGCUCAACGGAUAAAAGCUACCCCGGGGAUAACAGGCUUAUCUCCCCCAAGAGUCCACAUCGACGGGGAGGUUUGGCACCUCGAUGUCGGCUCAUCGCAUCCUGGGGCUGUAGUCGGUCCCAAGGGUUGGGCUGUUCGCCCAUUAAAGCGGUACGCGAGCUGGGUUCAGAACGUCGUGAGACAGUUCGGUCCCUAUCCGUCGUGGGCGCAGGAAAUUUGAGAGGAGCUGUCCUUAGUACGAGAGGACCGGGAUGGACGCACCGCUGGUGUACCAGUUGUUCUGCCAAGGGCAUAGCUGGGUAGCUAUGUGCGGAAGGGAUAAGUGCUGAAAGCAUCUAAGCAUGAAGCCCCCCUCAAGAUGAGAUUUCCCAUAGCGUAAGCUAGUAAGAUCCCUGAAAGAUGAUCAGGUUGAUAGGUUCGAGGUGGAAGCAUGGUGACAUGUGGAGCUGACGAAUACUAAUAGAUCGAGGACUUAACCAUAUAA
rnacentral:rRNA from 1 species